rnacentral:rRNA from 1 species
GUGUCAGCCGCCGCGGUAAUACGUAGGGUGCGAGCGUUGUCCGGAAUUAUUGGGCGUAAAGAGCUUGUAGGCGGUUUGUCGCGUCUGCCGUGAAAAUCCGGGGCUCAACCCCGGACUUGCGGUGGGUACGGGCAGACUAGAGUGUGGUAGGGGAGACUGGAAUUCCUGGUGUAGCGGUGAAAUGCGCAGAUAUCAGGAGGAACACCGAUGGCGAAGGCAGGUCUCUGGGCCACUACUGACGCUGAGAAGCGAAAGCGUGGGGAGCGAACAGGAUUAGAUACCCUGGUAGUCCACGCCGUAAACGUUGGGAACUAGGUGUGGGUCUCAUUCCACGAGAUCUGUGCCGCAGCUAACGCAUUAAGUUCCCCGCCUGGGGAGUACGGCCGCAAGGCUAAA